UACGUAGGGUGCAAGCGUUGUCCGGAAUUAUUGGGCGUAAAGAGCUCGUAGGCGGUCUGUCGCGUCUGCUGUGAAAACUCAGGGCUUAACCCUGAGCUUGCAGCGGGUACGGGCAGACUAGAGUGCGGUAGGGGAGACUGGAAUUCCUGGUGUAGCGGUGAAAUGCGCAGAUAUCAGGAGGAACACCGGUGGCGAAGGCGGGUCUCUGGGCCGUAACUGACGCUGAGGAGCGAAAGCAUGGGGAGCGAACAGG
rnacentral:rRNA from 1 species